AGUGAACGCUGGCGGUAGGCCUAACACAUGCAAGUCGAACGGCAGCACAGUAAGAGCUUGCUCUUACGGGUGGCGAGUGGCGGACGGGUGAGGAAUACAUCGGAACCUACUUUUUCGUGGGGGAUAACGUAGGGAAACUUACGCUAAUACCGCAUACGACCUACGGGUGAAAGCAGGGGAUCUUCGGACCUUGCGCGAUUGAAUGAGCCGAUGUCGGAUUAGCUAGUUGGCGGGGUAAAGGCCCACCAAGGCGACGAUCCGUAGCUGGUCUGAGAGGAUGAUCAGCCACACUGGAACUGAGACACGGUCCAGACUCCUACGGGAGGCAGCAGUGGGGAAUAUUGGACAAUGGGCGCAAGCCUGAUCCAGCCAUACCGCGUGGGUGAAGAAGGCCUUCGGGUUGUAAAGCCCUUUUGUUGGGGAAGAAAAGCAGCAGGUUAAUACCCCGCUGUUCUGACGGUACCCAAAGAAUAAGCACCGGCUAACUUCGUG
rnacentral:rRNA from 1 species